UGGGACUGAGACACGGCCCAGACUCCUACGGGAGGCAGCAGUGGGGAAUAUUGCACAAUGGGCGAAAGCCUGAUGCAGCGACGCCGCGUGAGGGAUGACGGCCUUCGGGUUGUAAACCUCUUUCAGCAGGGAAGAAGCGAGAGUGACGGUACCUGCAGAAGAAGCGCCGGCUAACUACGUGCCAGCAGCCGCGGUAAUACGUAGGGCGCAAGCGUUGUCCGGAAUUAUUGGGCGUAAAGAGCUCGUAGGCGGCUUGUCACGUCGGUUGUGAAAGCCCGGGGCUUAACCCCGGGUCUGCAGUCGAUACGGGCAGGCUAGAGUUCGGUAGGGGAGAUCGGAAUUCCUGGUGUAGCGGUGAAAUGCGCAGAUAUCAGGAGGAACACCGGUGGCGAAGGCGGAUCUCUGGGCCGAUACUGACGCUGAGGAGCGAAAGCGUGGGGAGCGAACAGGAUUAGAUACCCUGGUAGUCCACGCCGUAAACGGUGGGCACUAGGUGUGGGCAACAUUCCACGUUGUCCGUGCCGCAGCUAACGCAUUAAGUGCCCCGCCUGGGGAGUACGGCCGCAAGGCUAAAACUCAAAGGAAUUGACGGGGGCCCGC
rnacentral:rRNA from 2 species